AUUGAACGCUGGCGGCAGGCCUAACACAUGCAAGUCGAACGAGUGGCGGACGGGUGAGUAAUGUCUGGGAAACUGCCUGAUGGAGGGGGAUAACUACUGGAAACGGUAGCUAAUACCGCAUACCAUCGGAUGUGCCCAGAUGGGAUUAGCUAGUAGGUGGGGUAACGGCACACCUAGGCGACGAUCCCUAGCGGGUCUGAGAGGAUGACCGGCAACACUGGACUUGGGAAACGGUCCAGACUCCUACGGGAGGCAGCAGUGGGGAAUAUUGCACAAUGGGCGCAGGCCUGAUGCAGCCAGGCCGCGUGUAUGAAGAAGGCCUUCGGGUUGUAAAGUACUUUCAGCGGGGAGGCGUUACCCGCAGAGGAAGCACCGGCUAACUCCGUGCCAGCAGCCGCGGUAAUUC
rnacentral:rRNA from 1 species